rnacentral:rRNA from 1 species
CGGCGUGCUUAACACAUGCAAGUCGAACGAACCUUCGGGUUAGUGGCGGACGGGUGAGUAACGCGUGGGAAUCUGCCCUCAGGAGGGGGAUAACGGCCGGAAACGGCCGCUAAUACCCCAUAUGCCGAGAGGUGAAAUGAAUUUCGCCUGAGGAUGAGCCCGCGUCUGAUUAGCUAGUUGGUGAGGUAAGAGCUCACCAAGGCAUCGAUCAGUAGCUGGUCUGAGAGGAUGAUCAGCCACACUGGGACUGAGACACGGCCCAGACUCCUACGGGAGGCAGCAGUGGGGAAUUUUCCGCAAUGGGCGAAAGCCUGACGGAGCAACGCCGCGUGAGGGAUGAAGGCCUCUGGGCUGUAAACCUCUUUUAUCAAGGAAGAAGAUCUGACGGUACUUGAUGAAUAAGCCACGGCUAAUUCCG